CUAACACAUGCAAGUCGAACGAGCGAGAGAGAGCUUGCUUUCUCGAGCGAGUGGCGAACGGGUGAGUAACGCGUGAGGAACCUGCCUCAAAGAGGGGACAACAGUUGGAAACGACUGCUAAUACCGCAUAAGCCCACAGGUCGGCAUCGACCAGGGGGAAAAGGAGCAAUCCGCUUUGAGAUGGCCUCGCGUCCGAUUAGCUAGUUGGUGAGGUAAUGGCCCACCAAGGCAACGAUCGGUAGCCGGACUGAGAGGUUGAACGGCCACAUUGGGACUGAGACACGGCCCAGACUCCUACGGGAGGCAGCAGUGGGGAAUAUUGCACAAUGGGGGAAACCCUGAUGCAGCGACGCCGCGUGGAGGAAGAAGGUCUUCGGAUUGUAAACUCCUGUUGUUGAGGAAGAUAAUGACGGUACUCAACAAGGAAGUGACGGCUAACUACGUGCCAGCAGCCGCGGUAAAACGUAGGUCACGAGCGUUGUCCGGAAUUACUGGGUGUAAAGGGAGCGCAGGCGGGAAGACAAGUUGGAAGUGAAAUCUAUGGGCUCAACCCAUAAACUGCUUUCAAAACUGUUUUUCUUGAGUAGUGCAGAGGUAGGCGGAAUUCCCGGUGUAGCGGUGGAAUGCGUAGAUAUCGGGAGGAACACCAGUGGCGAAGGCGGCCUACUGGGCACCAACUGAC
rnacentral:rRNA from 1 species